rnacentral:rRNA from 1 species
AGGACGAACGCUGGCGGCGUGCUUAACACAUGCAAGUCGAGCGGAAAGGCCCUUCGGGGUACUCGAGCGGCGAACGGGUGAGUAACACGUGGGUAAUCUGCCCCUAGCUCUGGGAUAGCUCCGGGAAACCGGGAUUAAUACCAGAUACAACCACUUUAGACAUCUCUUGUGGUGGAAAGAAUUUCGGCUAGGGAUGAACUCGCGGCCUAUCAGCUUGUUGGUGAGGUAACGGCUCACCAAGGCGACGACGGGUA